AUGACAGUGGUGGAGCUGCUGCAUCUAGCCGCGGCGCUACGACACCUCGGAUCGGCGGCGGCGUGGAAGGCUUUGGCGGGUUGGUCAUCUGCGGGCGUGGUUGGCCCUCUGGUCAGAUCUGAUCUGGCGAGAUUGGCUUCUCGCUCCGCGGCGGCGGAGAUCGGCGGUGGUCUGUGGGAGGUUGGUCGAGCAGAUCCGGAUGAAAACCUCAUUGUCGACUUGUUACCAAGACCGACGAUGGCGGCACUCUUUUGUGUCAUUACAUUCUUGAAGGCAUCGCCAUGGAGAAGCUCCAUACCUCUAUCCGCUACCUCCGGGGAAAACUCUAGAUCAGUAGAUCGGAUGACGGCGGCGCUCUGGUGUCGUUUCCCCCUUAGGGCGUCAUUCUUGGAGGUGUUGGAGGUGUACAUGGGCUCGAGGGACCAGUGGACGGCUUCUUCGGUAGAGCGGUGCUUCAUCUUAUUUAUUGAUGGCGGCCGAUCUCGACAGCGUGGCGCAGUGGAGACUCGGUGUCCGAUGCGCAAAGAUGGACUCGCACAGGAGGAGGAUGUCGUCUGGCGUCAUGGUGGCGUCGAUGACAGAGAGGCCUGGCAAGGUCGGUUUGUUAGUUUCUGCUCUGAAGAUGGACUGGUGGAAGACGGCGGCGACGACACAUGA
rnacentral:rRNA from 1 species